AACAUACUACACCAUGACUGGUGGGCACAACCCCACAAGUAUGGAAAGACGAAUACUUGUACAAACUUUUACGAAUGAGUUUGCCAGUUCCCUCAAUUGGGCUGGACGAGGAAAGAAAAGAGGCCUGCAAUGUACAAAGUUACAGGACUGCAUUUUCUAUGCUGUGCGAAAGGUGUUUUCUUCAAGGACGCAUGCAGAGUUUGCAGAUGUUGUUAAGCGGUGGCUGCGGUAUGCCCCAGAGCGUGAGGGUGGCAAGCAGCGCAAACCUUCACAGCCUUAAGAUACUUGUUGCACUUUUUAAAAAAUAUUUUUGUAUUAUUUUAUUUUUGAUGUUUUGUUUGGUAUUUUACUAAAAAGGCAAGCAAGUGAAUAUGUUGUUUAGGUUUUUGACAUGAGUACAACAAAUAAAGGUGAAGUUUCCUUAUUGUCAAAGUCACUACUACAUGCUGUUUGAAAAAUGCUUUCCCCCCAAACCCUGAAGUUGGCUGAAAGUAAAUGUUCUAAAUUUAAUUGUUAAUAAAACGUUCUAUUAUUUGUA